CGCGGCCUAUCAGCUUGUUGGUGGGGUGAUGGCCUACCAAGGCGACGACGGGUAGCCGGCCUGAGAGGGUGUCCGGCCACACUGGGACUGAGAUACGGCCCAGACUCCUACGGGAGGCAGCAGUGGGGAAUAUUGCACAAUGGGCGCAAGCCUGAUGCAGCGACGCCGCGUGGGGGAUGACGGCCUUCGGGUUGUAAACCUCUUUCACCAUCGGCGAAGCCGGGAGCUUUUGUUUCUGGUGACGGUAGGUGGAGAAGAAGCACCGGCCAACUACGUGCCAGCAGCCGCGGUAAUACGUAGGGUGCGAGCGUUGUCCGGAAUUACUGGGCGUAAAGAGCUCGUAGGUGGUUUGUCGCGUUGUCCGUGAAAUUCCCUGGCUUAACUGGGGGCGUGCGGGCGAUACGGGCAGACUGGAGUACUGCAGGGGAGACUGGAAUUCCUGGUGUAGCGGUGGAAUGCGCAGAUAUCAGGAGGAACACCGGUGGCGAAGGCGGGUCUCUGGGCAGUAACUGACGCUGAGGAGCGAAAGCGUGGGGAGCGAACAGGAUUAGAUACCCUGGUAGUCCACGCCGUAAACGGUGGGUACUAGGUGUGGGUUUCCUUCCUUGGGAUCCGUGCCGUAGCUAACGCAUUAAGUACCCCGCCUGGGGAGUACGG
rnacentral:rRNA from 1 species